UUGUAAGUGUGUAAGGGCGUUCGGUGGAUGCCUUGGUACCAGGAGCCGAUGAAGGACGUGGUAGGCCGCGAUAGUCCUCGGGGAGUUGUC
rnacentral:rRNA from 1 species